GACGAACCACACAAACGUUAUUCGGAAUUACUGGGCUUAAAGGGUGCGUAGGCGGCGCAGAAAGUAGGGUGUGAAAUCCCUCGGCUCAACCGAGGAACUGCGCCCUAAACUACUGUGCUCGAGGGAGGUAGAGGUGAGCGGAACUUAGGGUGGAGCGGUGAAAUGCGUUGAUAUCCUAAGGAACACCGGUGGCGAAAGCGGGCCGCUGGCCCUCUGCUGACGCUGAUGCGCGAAAGCCAGGGGAGCGAACGGG
rnacentral:rRNA from 1 species